UACAGAGGGUGCAAGCGUUGUUCGGAAUUAUUGGGCGUAAAGGGCGCGUAGGCGGUGCCACAAGUCACCUGUGAAAUCUCCGGGCUUAACUCGGAGCCUGCAGGCGAAACUGUGGUGCUGGAGUGUGGGAGAGGUGCGUGGAAUUCCCGGUGUAGCGGUGAAAUGCGUAGAUAUUGGGAGGAACACCAGUGGCGAAGGCGGCUCACUGGACCGGUUCUGACGCUGAGGCGCGAAAGCGUGGGGAGCAAACGGG
rnacentral:rRNA from 1 species